AAACGAUAAUGGCAAAUCUAAUGAAAAUUAGAGACGCAAAGCUAUAGGGCCUUCCUUGUGUAUGCAAGAUGGCAGCCAGCUACCGAA
rnacentral:ncRNA from 1 species